CAUUCCGGGGCAGUUGGAAGAGUCUGUUGCGGAAGCAGGAAGAAGUCAGUUGGAAGCCAAAGAGAGAAGGAAAGAGGCUUGUCAGCUGGAGACUGUCCCCCGGUUAACUACUAACUAACAAAACCUUGCCAGCAUUAUUGAGCAGACAUUAUUCACCGGUUGGUUCUUAUUUAUUCUUGGAUCCCCUCUCUUUAUGUCUCUUCGCCAUGGGUAACGUACAACUGUUUCCUGGCAUGUGCAGAAGACGAAAGGCCCCACGGAAACACACACAGGCACACUGACUGGAUUUGUUUGUACAGAAACUGUCCAACAGCCAGCUAGGAAUGGAAUUAAUGCCUCUCGCCCACCCCAUGACAAGGUGGCUCUAAAAGAGAGCAAGGGCUCAGGUUGCCCUUGCGGGAGGAAACAGGAAGCAUCAAGAAAAGCAUUACAAAACUCACAGCUACUGCAAAGCACUGCAGUGCAAAGGGCGGGGGGAAACACCAACACCGCACCCCCGUCUAGGGCAGGAAGGGUUUGGCCACCCCCUCUCCCCAAACACACUUUUACUCACUAGUCAGGGGUCCUGCACACGGCUCUGUCUCAGAGCCAAACUCAGCAUGAGAACAGGGCAAGGCAGCAGGACCGGCAGCUGGUUUCAAUGAGCUUUGGUGGCAGUGCAGAGCAACCCCGCUCUCUGGGCCUCAGUUUUCUUUUGCAACCCUUCGGCGUAAGUGGUGAGUGGCACUCUCACUCUGUUCCUUCAGGAGGUUGCUGGGAUCAUCCAGGAGUCAUCCCAAGGGGUUUGGAGGGUCUUCUUCAGCAGGCUGGGAUGGCAGAAAAUAAGCUGAUGCCAACAUGGUCUGUGGCAUGAAGGAGCAGCUACACACACACACACACACACACACACACACACACACACAUAGAGCUUGCUGGCCAUAGCAGCACAGGGGCCUAACCAACUAAACUGCAAGCCAAAGCAUACAUCUAGGAGCCAGGAGUUUACCUGCACUUCUUGCUGCAGCGCACAUGCCUCCAACUCUGAGCAAAGGUGUGCUCCACAAGCCUUUAUGCCUAAGGGAUGAAAGAGGCUCUUCCUCGCCUAUUGCCUCAGCUGGUUAACCCUUCCUCUGACUUCAGUUUAGCAAGGCAGCCAGUCCCAAAGGAUCCCUUUCACACUGCUGCCUCCCUACGGAGCUUAUUUGAUAAGGGCUGGGUAGUUUACUGAACUGGACCUGUGCCCCAAAAUAUGGACCUAUUAUUUAGCUAGCAAAAGUGCAGCCCCUCUUCUUUCAGAAUGGGAGCGUGAGCCAGGAAUGCAGGAACGUGCUGAAGGAUUGAAGGCAGGCACUGGGGGUCCCGCAAAUCAUCUGUUUUGCAGUGGCAGUUUCCAAAAUCCUUCGACAGCUAAUGUCGUCAGGUUACGUUUACGACUGUCAUUUGACUAAAUAAAUCUUAGGAGGGAUUCCCGUGUCUGAGUUUCUGUUUGAUUAAUUGAUCAGUUAGUCAACCCUGAAGCCAAAAGCAUUCACUUGUUUUUUGUUUUCUUUUUCUUUCUAGAUGAUGGGUCUCUGUGUGUGGCAGAAGGCAUCACCUGGUAAGAAACAUCCUCUCUGGGGGACACAUGCCCCUCUUAAGAAUCAUAGAGUUGGAAGAGAUCAUGAGGAGCAUCUAGUCCAACUCCCUGCAAUGAAGCAAUCUUUUGUCCCAUUUUGGGCUCGAACCCAUGAACCAGGGAUUAAUAUUCUCAUGCUCUACCAAGCUAUCCCUUGCAUAAAAUUAUCACUGCAAACCAUCUGUAAUUGUUGCAAA